rnacentral:rRNA from 1 species
ACGCUCGACACCUACGGGGAGGCAGCAGUGGGGAAUAUUGGGCAAUGGGCGCAAGCCUGACCCAGCAACGCCGCGUGAAGGAAGAAGGCUUUCGGGUUGUAAACUUCUUUUGUCAGGGAACAGUAGAAGAGGGUACCUGACGAAUAAGCCACGGCUAACUACGUGCCAACAGCCGCGGUAAUCUGAGCGGGCUGGCAAGGC